rnacentral:misc_RNA from 1 species
GGGGGGGGGUGAAAACAACAAAUAUUUCCUUCAUUUCAAAGAGUACUGUUUGUAGCAUUUGAAACCGGUAUUUUAACUGUGAUAUAUGUGAUUUCAGUCCUGAAGUAGGAUUUUGACAAGUGACGGCACGGUUGUAGUUUUUCAUCUUUGAUAUAAAUUAUCAGUAUUUGUAACCAUUAUGCAUUGUUUAUUAAAUAGACCCAAGAUUUUAAAAGAAUUUUAUUUGCAAGUUUUAUUAGUCUACAGACAGCAUUUUUCAACCACCUAAAGUACACUGUCUUCCACUCAUUUUACCGAGAUAAAGAACAAUACUCCUUACUGCGGAAAAUUAUGCAUGUUUGUUCAAGAAUUCAAGUGCAAUAUAGUAGUGUUUAGAUUAUUAGAUCAUUAUACAUAUGCAAGUAUAUUUGUUUAUUUUUUGUGGUUUGUUGCAAGGUUCCUUUUGUUUGAGAGCUCAGAAUUUUGAUCCCUGUUACAAGUUUCAUAUGUGCAAUAAUAAAGAUAUGUAUUGUUGCUACUCAUUUUAACAGAAAGCACGCCUGUAGUACAAUAAAAUAUAUGAAAG